GGGUAUUGUUCGGUUUUGCUGUGAGGAGGAAGAGGACCUGCGUUUUGGAUAACUGCGUUUUGAGCCAAGGAGAAGAUGAGGGAUUUGGGUAUAGGGUUGUGAUCGAUACUUAGUUUUUGGGACGUGUUAGUGCAAUAAUGUUUGUGAGAAGUGGUUCUUCUAUUUACACUGCUGGUGCUGAAGGGAUGAUUUGUGAAAUCGAUUCACUGACAGCAGCAAAGGUUUCUGUUAAGUCUGGAGUUUGUAUAUAUUGAAGUUAGUACAACAAAUCUUGGUAUUAUUGCUGGUGUGGCUGCUCUAAUUUUGGGAUCCAAGAAGUUACCUGAAUUGGGCAAGAGGUUAUGAAGACUAUCAAGAGUUUCUAACAGUCAAGGGAGAUUAGAGUUGCUUGGAGAGUGGAGAGCUAAAAGUGGUGUUUUCUUGAUUGGCUAGACAAAUUUGUCAUUCGGCUCUGAGUUCUUUUCUUUGGUUGCACGCACUAAAAGGUAGUUUCUGUAUUUUAACAUAGCAUUCAAUAUGCAACUCUUUUUAAAUUUUCAGCAACUGAGAUAUUCAGGGCUGCCACUUGAAUUAUUCCUAUUAUUGUUCCUUUUAUUUUGAGAGUUUCCAUAAUAUCCAAGAUGGUUAACCUGAUAUUGCAUUAAAUAUUUUCUUCAUACCUGUAAGCGUUGAGAUGAAUUUUUGUCAAAUCUUUU
rnacentral:lncRNA from 1 species